AAAAUCCAAGCAAAUUUCCUGGACUUUAAACUCCAUGACAGCAGUAGGUCAGCAUCGUCUUACUUUACCUACCCACAGUAACAUCAACUGAUUGACAGUGUUUGAAUGUUUACUACCUUAAAUACAGGGGGAGUGACAGCCUAUGUGUUAACACAUCACAGACUCUUCAAAGACUAAAGACUUGAUCCAUCUUCCUCCAAAUAUCUCCUACCUGCC
rnacentral:lncRNA from 1 species